AAACAUACGGAAAACUUUCUCUGAGUGGGUAGAUUUCCAGUGGAAAUCUUCCAGUGGGUAGAUCUUCUUCAUAGAAAGAUUUCCAGUGGAACCGGCACUCUGUCAGUAAGCAUCUUAGCCAAGCACGUGACGCAUGUCUCCCUGAAGAGCCAGACUAAAGAUCUUACCUGAGGACCACCCCCUAGGCAGUCCGUAUAUGUGUCUGGGGAUAGAUACAACCCUCACCAGUCCCAGGCCGCUAAUCUACCUGCCUUCUACUUGAUCCACCACAGAGUGCAACAUCUCCAAUAACUCAAGCCAAGAAUAUCCCACUCUGAACUUAAAACUGGCUUCCCCGGACACUUGAGACAAUGCCCACAAGCUACUGAAAGAGCAGCCUGCUCUACAACGCUGUAGGCUAAGUUAGUGCCCCUUCAGCUGGUGGUAAUAAGUAUACUACCCGAGAGAUAGCAGGCUCACUUCCUACACAUUACCUUCAAAACCUGUGCUCACAGAACCGUAACACUGCAGAGCCUUAAUAAAAAAAAGAAAAGUUCUUAAGUCACCAUUUUUGGCAAUUACCCUAAUAUCCUAAACAGCCAUUCAGAAAAAUAAGACAGCUUUUAGCUAAUUACAUGGUACUACCUUCAACAUAUACUGUUAAAUGAAGCAAGCUGCAAAAUAAUUUUCUUUUGCAGAACUAGGAUUUAUAAUUACAUUAGUAAAUUACGACUAAAUUCCCAGGGUAGGAAAACAACUCUUUGACAGAGGUCUACGGAAGAGUAUCUAUUCUUCUCCAGGCAGCAGAGUUUAACCAACAUAAACACCUUCACCCACAAUUUUACCUAAGAGCUCAUUAUUUCUGUUCCACUUUUAGGGAAAGUCCUCUAACUAGAUAGAUACCACAUAUCUGAUGUGUGCCUAAAAAGCCUUCUGGACAAGAUGAUUACAAGCUGAGAAGAUCUCUUCCGUAAAAGACAUUACUCAUUUCUAAAGUUCUCUGCACGACCUGAAACCUUUAAUGCAUCUGGAAGAUUCGGCAUCUCCUGAACAGUCUGCCCCUGAAGGUAUAGGCUAUUCAUAUAUGCCAAUCUGCUGCUCUACACCAAGCACCAUUCUGGACUCUGGGCCCUGGGACAUAGUCCCUGCCCUUCCCCCACCCCACCCCCGGAACUUGGGUGUGGUAGGAGAGGACAGAAAAGCCAACCAGGAAGACCUAGUAAGAUACAACCAUUAACCAUUAACCACUGGUCGUCUUACCAAUGACCAUUACGGAUGGCCAGCAUUCGAGGAUGUGGGAAACUCGG